UACGGAGGGUGCGAGCGUUAAUCGGAAUUACUGGGCGUAAAGGGUGCGUAGGUUGUUGAUUAAGUUAUCUGUGAAAUCCCUGGGCUUAACCUGGGCAGGUCAGAUAAGACUGAUUGACUCGAGUGUGGGAGAGGGUAGUGGAAUUUCCGGUGUAGCGGUGAAAUGCGUAGAGAUGUGGAGGAACACCGAUGGCGAAGGCAGCCCCCUGGGUCAACACUGACGCUCAUGCACGAAAGCGUGGGGAGCAAACAGG
rnacentral:rRNA from 1 species